GAUGAACGCUAGCGGCAGGCGUUAACACAUGCAAGUCAGGGGUAACAGUUAGUGCUUGCACUAGAUGACGACCGGCGCACCGGGUGCGUAACGCGUAUAGAAUCUACCGUUUUACACGGGGGAUAGCCUUUAGAAAUGAAGAUUAAUAUCCCAUAGUAUUGUUUAGUGGCAUCACUUAACAUUAAAGAGUUUAUCGGUUAAAAGAUGACUAUGCGUCCUAUUAGUUAGUUGGUAAGGUAACGGCUUACCAAGACUUCGAUAGGUAGGGGUCCUGAGAGGGAGAUCCCCCACACUGGUACUGAGACACGGACCAGACUCCUACGGGAGGCAGCAGUGAGGAAUAUUGGGCAAUGGAGGCAACUCUGACCCAGCCAUGCCGCGUGCAGGAAGACUGCCCUAUGGGUUGUAAACUGCUUUUAUACAGGAAGAAACACUGCUACGUGUAGCAGCUUGACGGUACUGUAAGAAUAAGGACCGGCUAACUCCGUG
rnacentral:rRNA from 1 species